rnacentral:rRNA from 1 species
AACGAACGCUGGCGGCAUGCCUAACACAUGCAAGUCGAACGAGACCUUCGGGUCUAGUGGCGCAUGGGUGCGUAACGCGUGGGAACCUGCCCUUAGGUUCGGAAUAACUCCCCGAAAGGGGUGCUAAUACCGGAUAAUGUCUUCGGACCAAAGAUUUAUCGCCCUUGGAUGGGCCCGCGUUGGAUUAGCUAGUUGGUAGGGUAAAAGCCUACCAAGGCGACGAUCCAUAGCUGGUCUGAGAGGAUGAUCAGCCACACUGGGACUGAGACACGGCCCAGACUCCUACGGGAGGCAGCAGUGGGGAAUAUUGGACAAUGGGCGAAAGCCUGAUCCAGCAAUGCCGCGUGAGUGAUGAAGGCCUUAGGGUUGUAAAGCUCUUUUACCCGGGAUGAUAAUGACAGUACCGGGAGAAUAAGCUCCGGCUAACUCCGUG